rnacentral:rRNA from 1 species
AGUGAACGCUGGCGGUAGGCCUAACACAUGCAAGUCGAACGGCAGCACAGAGGAGCUUGCUCCUUGGGUGGCGAGUGGCGGACGGGUGAGGAAUACAUCGGAAUCUACUCUGUCGUGGGGGAUAACGUAGGGAAACUUACGCUAAUACCGCAUACGACCUACGGGUGAAAGCAGGGGAUCUUCGGACCUUGCGCGAUUGAAUGAGCCGAUGUCGGAUUAGCUAGUUGGCGGGGUAAGGCCCACCAAGGCGACGAUCCGUAGCUGGUCUGAGAGGAUGAUCGGCGACACUGGAACUGGGACACGGUCCAGACUCCUACGGGAGGCAGCAGUGGGGAAUAUUGGACAAUGGGCGCAAGCCUGAUCCAGCCAUACCGCGUGGGUGAAGAAGGCCUUCGGGUUGUAAAGCCCUUUUGUUGGGAAAGAAAUCCAUCUGGUUAAUACCCGGGUGGGAUGACGGUACCCAAAGAAUAAGCACCGGCUAACUUCGUGCCAGCCGCCGCAGUAA